CCUACGGGAGGCAGCAGUGGGGAAUUUUGGACAAUGGGCGCAAGCCUGAUCCAGCCAUGCCGCGUGCGGGAAGAAGGCCUUCGGGUUGUAAACCGCUUUUGUCAGGGAAGAAAAGGUUCUGGCUAAUACCUGGGACUCAUGACGGUACCUGAAGAAUAAGCACCGGCUAACUACGUGCCAGCAGCCGCGGUAAUACGUAGGGUGCAAGCGUUAAUCGGAAUUACUGGGCGUAAAGCGUGCGCAGGCGGUUAUGCAAGACAGAGGUGAAAUCCCCGGGCUCAACCUGGGAACUGCCUUUGUGACUGCAUAGCUAGAGUGCGGCAGAGGGGGAUGGAAUUCCGCGUGUAGCAGUGAAAUGCGUAGAUAUGCGGAGGAACACCGAUGGCGAAGGCAAUCCCCCUGGGCCUGCACUGACGCUCAUGCACGAACGACGGUGGGGAGGACGAACGAAGGAGUAGUAUACCGUACGGUACGUACCGACCGACCCGUAACCGACUAGUC
rnacentral:rRNA from 1 species